CCUACGGGAGGUAGCAGUGAGGAAUAUUGGUCAAUGGACGCAAGUCUGAACCAGCCAUGCCGCGUGCAGGAUGACGGCUCUAUGAGUUGUAAACUUCUUUUGUACGGGGGUAAACGCAGGUACGCGUAUCUGUCUGAAAGUAUCGUACGAAUAAGGAUCGGCUAACUCCGUGCCAGCAGCCGCGGUAAUACGGAGGAUUCAAGCGUUAUCCGGAUUUAUUGGGUUUAAAGGGUGCGUAGGCGGUCGGAUAAGUUAGAGGUGAAAUCUUGAGGCUCAACUUCGGAAUUGCCAUUGAUACUGGCAGGCUAGAGAGUAGUUGAGGUAGGCGGAAUGCAUGGUGUAGCGGUGAAAUGCUUAGAGAUCAUACAGAACACCGAUUGCGAAGGCAGCUUACCAAGCUACUACUGACGUUGAGGCACGAAAGUGUGGGUAGCAAACAGGAUUAGAUACCCCAGUAGUC
rnacentral:rRNA from 1 species